UCCCCUUGAGUACCUCUGAACUCCGUCCACGAAUUAAGAGCUGUUAAGCCAGUAGCUCUUUUAGACGACUGUGAUGUAGACGAAGUAGGGGUUGGAAUAUUAGGCCUAGCAUGCUCUAACGCCUGUUUAUAAGCAUUAUAAACAGUUUGAGCAUUCACUUUAAUUGAUGCUUUCUCAUCAGAUAGUGUAGCCAUUUCUUCUUCUGAAAGAUCUAAAGCUUGAUUAAUAGUAGAAUACCAAAAGUGAGGAC
rnacentral:lncRNA from 1 species